GCGAACGAACAGGGAUAAGCUCAGGUUGGAAACCAGGGCCCCUGGUCCUGGGUUGUAGCCUGCAGACGUAGCGCUAUCGGCGGCUUGAGCGAAAGCCUCUUGGAACAGAGCGUGUGCCCAGGUGAGAAUCCUGUGUUUCGCUUGAAGUCCGCCGUGUACGGUGCUCGCUCUCAAAGUCACGCUCCUCGGAAUUGGAGCGUAAAUCAGGUGGUAGAUUUCAUCUAAAGCCAAAUACAGACCUGAGACCGAUAGUGAACAAGUACCAUGAGGGAAAGAUGAAAAGGACUUUGGAAAGAGAGUUAAAGUGCUUGAAAUCGCUGAAAGGGAAGCGAAUGGAACCACAUGCUUGCUGAGAUUGCUGCCAAUGCUUGUGAGCCCUGGUCAUUAAAGCGCAAGCUUCUUGUCUAGGAGUGAGUUGGCAUUUGUAGUGCUUCUUAGCUUGCGCGUC
rnacentral:rRNA from 1 species